rnacentral:rRNA from 1 species
UACGAAGGGGGCAAGCGUUGUUCGGAAUUACUGGGCGUAAAGGGCGCGUAGGCGGCUUAUCAAGUCAGGCGUGAAAUUCCCGGGCUCAACCUGGGGGCUGCGCUUGAUACUGAUGAGCUUGAAUGCGGGAGAGGAUAGUGGAAUUCCCAGUGUAGAGGUGAAAUUCGUAGAUAUUGGGAAGAACACCGGUGGCGAAGGCGGCAUCCUGGACCGGUAUUGACGCUGAGGCGCGAAAGCCAGGGGAGCAAACGGG